rnacentral:piRNA from 1 species
UUUCAAUGGUAGCCAUAAAUGGUUCCUAAG